GACGAACGCUGGCGGCGUGCUUAACACAUGCAAGUCGAGCGGUAAGGCUCCUUCGGGAGUACACGAGCGGCGAACGGGUGAGUAACACGUGAGCAAUCUGCCCUUCACUUUGGGAUAACUUCCGGAAACGGAAGCUAAUACCGAAUACGACCACUUCAGGCAUCUGAUGGUGGUGGAAAGUUCCGGCGGUGAAGGAUGAGCUCGCGGCCUAUCAGCUUGUUGGUGAGGUAACGGCUCACCAAGGCUUCGACGGGUAGCCGGCCUGAGAGGGUGACCGGCCACACUGGGACUGAGACACGGCCCAGACUCCUACGGGAGGCAGCAGUGGGGAAUAUUGGACAAUGGGCGAAAGCCUGAUCCAGCAACGCCGCGUGAGGGAUGACGGCCUUCGGGUUGUAAACCUCUUUCAGCAGGGACGAAGCGCAAGUGACGGUACCUGCAGAAGAAGCACCGGCCAACUACGUGCCAGCCGCCGCAGUAACAC
rnacentral:rRNA from 1 species